GUGCCAGCAGCCGCGGUAAUACGUAGGGGGCAAGCGUUGUCCGGAUUUAUUGGGCGUAAAGAGCGUGUAGGCGGCCAGACAGGUCCGUUGUGAAAACUCGAGGCUCAACCUCGAGAUGUCGAUGGAAACCGUCUGGCUAGAGUCCGGAAGAGGAGUGUGGAAUUCCUGGUGUAGCGGUGAAAUGCGCAGAUAUCAGGAAGAACACCUAUGGCGAAGGCAGCACUCUGGGACGGUACUGACGCUGAGACGCGAAAGCGUGGGGAGCGAACAGGAUUAGAUACCCUGGUAGUCCACGCCGUAAACGAUGGAUGCUAGGUGUGGGCGGUGUCGACUCCGUCCGUGCCGAAGCUAACGCAUUAAGCAUCCCGCCUGGGGAGUACGGCCGCAAGGCUAAA
rnacentral:rRNA from 1 species